rnacentral:piRNA from 1 species
UNCCAGGGUAUUUAGCCUAGUUGGCAAGC